rnacentral:rRNA from 1 species
UACGGAGGAUGCGAGCGUUAUCCGGAUUUAUUGGGUUUAAAGGGUGCGUAGGCGGGCUUUUAAGUCUGCGGUAAAAAUUCGGGGCUCAACCCCGUCCGGCCGUUGAAACUGGGAGUCUUGAGUGGGCGAGAAGAAGGCGGAAUGCGUGGUGUAGCGGUGAAAUGCAUAGAUAUCACGCAGAACCCCGAUUGCGAAGGCAGCCUUCCGGCGCCCUACUGACGCUGAGGCACGAAAGUGCGGGGAUCGAACAGG